GACGAACGCUGGCGGCGUGCUUAACACAUGCAAGUCGAACGGAAAGGCCCUGCUUUUGUGGGGUGCUCGAGUGGCGAACGGGUGAGUAACACGUGAGUAACCUGCCCUUGACUUUGGGAUAACUUCAGGAAACUGGGGCUAAUACCGGAUAGGAGCUCCUGCUGCACGGUGGGGGUUGGAAAGUUUCGGCGGUUGGGGAUGGACUCGCGGCUUAUCAGCUUGUUUGUGGGGUAGUGGCAUACCAAGGCUUUGACGGGUAGCCGGCCUGAGAGGGGUGCCGGCCACAUUGGGACUGAGAUACGGACCAGACUCCUACGGGAGGCAGCAGUGGGGAGUAUUGCACAGUGGGCGGAAGCCUGAUACAGCAGCGCCGCGUGCGGGAUGACGGCCUUCGGGGUGUGAACCGCUUUCGCCUGUGACGAAGCGUGCGUGACGGUAAUGGGUAAAGAAGCACCGGCUAACUACGUG
rnacentral:rRNA from 1 species